UACGUAGGUGGCAAGCGUUGUCCGGAAUGACUGGGCGUAAAGGGAGCGUAGGCGGCGCGGUAAGUUAGGAGUGAAAUCCCGGGGCUCAACCCCGGAACUGCUUUUAAAACUGCCGUGCUUGAGUGAUGGAGAGGAAAGCGGAAUUCCUAGUGUAGCGGUGGAAUGCGUAGAUAUUAGGAGGAACACCAGAGGCGAAGGCGGCUUUCUGGACAUUAACUGACGCUGAGGCUCGAAAGCGUGGGGAGCAAACAGG
rnacentral:rRNA from 1 species